ACAGCAGUAGCCGCGGGAAUACGUAGGUCCCGAGCGUUGUCCGGAUUUAUUGGGCGUAAAGCGAGCGCAGGCGGUUAGAUAAGUCUGAAGUUAAAGGCUGUGGCUUAACCAUAGUACGCUUUGGAAACUGUUUAACUUGAGUGCAGAAGGGGAGAGUGGAAUUCCAUGUGUAGCAGUGAAAUGCGUAGAUAUAUGGAGGAACACCGGUGGCGAAAGCGGCUCUCUGGCUUGUAACUGACGCUGAGGCUCGAAAGCGUGGGGAGCAAACAGGAUUAGAUACCCCUGUAGUCCCUGUCUCUUAUACA
rnacentral:rRNA from 1 species